GUGAGGAUAGACGAGUAGGUCUAAGGCGACAGGUUUAAACCCUUCAUAUGGGGCGUGGGUUCAAAUCCCACUUCUAAUU